CUGAGAGUACACCUUUGCUGGUUCUGUGGAGAACAGCUGGUUUAUUCUCCUGCCUUCUCUCUCUCUGGUGUACCUCCUCAAGCGGCUGGCCAAGGCUGUGAGUCUUUGCUUGGCAGUUUCCAAGGCCUCAGCCUCCUUCUCCAUGGAGGGUACUGCCCCUUGUGGCUGUUCAACUUGUAGCCAAGCAUCUCACUGAUCACUGCUGCCGUAGUGUUAGUGUCGGUAAUCGUGGUUGUAGGUAUCGUCCGUAGUGCUGCAUUAACAUCAUCUAGCAGACCUUCUGAGGGUACUUCACGUAAUCUUGGUAACCGGCUACGGGGGAUCCAGGUUUCAAGCUUGGCCAUGAUCCUAUCUUUCAGAUGCAGACGGACAAAAUGGUGGUGGCUAACCAACCGGACAUAGUGGUGGUAGACAAACAGAAGAAGACGGCUGUAGUGAUCGAUGUAGCGGUUCCGAAUGACAGCAAUAUCAGGAAGAAGGAACACGAGAAGCUGGAGAAAUACCAAGGGCUCAGAGAAGAGCUCGAGAGGAUGUGGAGGGUGAAGGUAACGGUGGUCCCCGUGGUAAUCGGAGCACUAGGUGCGGUGACUCCCAAGCUAGGCGAGUGGCUCCAGCAGAUCCCGGGAACAACAUCGGAGAUCUCUGUCCAGAAGAGCGCAGUCCUGGGAACAGCUAAGAUACUGCGCAGGACCCUCAAGCUCCCAGGCCUCUGGUAGAGGACCCGAGCUUGAAGGAUAAACCGCCCGCAGGGGCGUGCUGGGUGUUAUAUAUAUAUAUGUAUAUAUAUAUAUAUAUGUAUGUGUGUAUAAAAUAUAUGAAGUAACAUGUUGACAUAUAUUAAUAAAUUGACAUGUACUGUUUCUUCAUUAGCUACUUUUAGUAACAGAUUUUGCGUUAAAAAUUCUAAUUAUCUGGCUUGUUUGGCUUGACUGCAGAUUUCAGUUGUUUGUAGACAUAUUUCAUCUCUAUGGUUAUUUUUCGGUCAAAUGGAAAUAACAUUUGCCUUUAGGCGACAAUACAAAUAGAACUGAAUUGAUUCUCUAAUCCUAUCAUACCUUUAUUCACAUAAAUGUUUGAGAAUCGUCGAGGAAAAAAUUUUUGAUAGAUUAUCAUGACCAUGGGCCAUGCACCAUAGACAGCAGACAGAAACAAAUAAAACUGUUUAUUAGAGUGUGCAAGGCUCAGAGUACUUGAUAAGCUAGAGUGGAAAAAAAUGGCUGCCACUCUUCCUGCUCCUGUGCUUUGACAAAUGUACUAUGUAAAGUGUUACCUUUGUUCUAUAAGUUUUGGGGAAAAAUGACUGAUUCAUUAAAGUUUAAAUUCCAAAUCCCGGACAACUCAGGUUCAGUGGACUAUGAGACAGGGUGUUUAUUCUGAGUUAAUAUUUACCAUGACAAAUGCGUCAAAACACCUUUUUUUCUUGGCAUCCACUAGCAGGUAGGUCAUGUGCACUCUAUGCCCAUGCAGUCCACCAUGUUUCAAAAAGUAUAGUAUAAAAUGUUUAAAGAAAUCUGUGUUGCUAAAUGUUUUGUCUUUUCUGUCAUAUGAUUCAUCUCACAGCUCCACAUACUUGGAAGACUUUGGUUUCAGUGUGUGGCAACAGCGGUUUCACUUUAGUGAUUUUAUGGUGCUGUGCUAGUAUGUUAGCACAGGCACCAUUUUGUGUGUGUGUGUGUGUGUGUGUGUGUGUGUGUGUGUGUGUGUGUGUGUGUGUGUGUGUGACAUGUGUGAAUUGAGCACAUUGACAAAAUCUGUACUACAUUCGGAGGCACUACCACUGCAUGAUUAGUAAUAGACUUCCAUCUGUCAGAACCAAAUGGGUGGAUUGAUCAUGCCUGCAGUCAUGCUGUAGGUAACUACAGAACUUACACUUGAGCUCCACAUUAUCCAUCUUUAUAUAGCUGUCUGGAAUAAAAUUUCAUGUUUCAAACACAUGUUUGUCAGGUUUUGAGAGUCUUUUAAUGUCACCCCAUUUGUGGUUUUAAAUGAGAACAGCCUUCUAUCGUCAAGCCGAUCUUCCAGCAGCAGCAUUAUGAUGCAGUAGUCGGGUCACAGCAUAGGUCAAACGUACACAUGUUUUGGUAAAAGUAAAACAUAAAUGCUUAACACUUUAGUUUAACAUUAACUAUAGUACCUCUAAAAGAACAUAUAAUAUCCCAUAAAUCUUCCCUUUAAAAGGCACCAUAUGAGUUCAGCAGAUCAUCACUUCUAUCUAUGACUUGGAUGGGCAUCUGAAUCAAUAUUCUGUAAACUCGCAGAAGAUGCCAUGGCUGGAGUUCCCAGGGGGUGCAUACACUCAUCGCCCCUCUCCACUGCUCUUCACAUCACAUCACACAGACAUUGACUCAUGUUCAUGUAUGACUUACAAAAUUGGAUCUGUUAUUGAUCACACACUAGCUAAUUUGAAGUGUGAAUCUAUUAAAACAAGGUGCCAGCAGCAGCAUUAUAGUGCACAAA
ensembl:lncRNA